GUGCUCGCUUCGGCGGUACAUAUACUAAAAUUGGAACGGUACAGAGCAUGACCCCUGCGCAAGGAUGAUAUGCAAAAUCGUGAAGCGUUCCACAUUGUU
rnacentral:snRNA from 1 species